rnacentral:rRNA from 1 species
CCAAUCGAACUCGGAUAUAGCUGGUUCUCCUCGAAAUAGCUUUAGGGCUAGCCUCGUAUUAAGAUACCCGGGGGUAGAGCACUGAAUGUUCUAGGGGCCUUCACCGGUUACCGAAAACUAUCAAACUCCGAAUACCGGAAUAUCAUAUACGGGAGUCAGACUAUGUGAGAUAAGUUUCAUAGUCGAAAGGGAAACAGCCCAGACCUACAGCUAAGGUCCCGAAAUAUAGGUUAAGUGGAAAAGGAUGUGGAGUUGCACAGACAGCUAGGAUGUUGGCUUAGAAGCAGCCAUACAUUCAAAGAGUGCGUAACAGCUCACUAGUCGAGUGACUCUGCGCCGAAGAUAAACGGGGCUAAAACCUAUUACCGAAGCUUAGGAUACAUAUAUAUGUAUGGUAGAGGAGCGUCGUAUAUGGAUUGAAGCAAUAUUGGAAGGUAUUGUGGACUGUAUAGGAGAGAGAAUGUUGGCAUGAGUAGCGAAAGGGAGGUGAGAAUCCUGCCCGCCGAAAAUCUAAGGAUUCCUGAGGAAGGUUCGUCCACUCAGGGUUAGUCGGGGCCUAAGCCGAGAGCGAAAGCUGUAGGCGAUGGACAACAGGUUGAAAUUCCUGUACCACCGAAGGUUGCAUGAGUGAAGUGGGGACACAGAAGGAUAGACUGAGCACGCCGUUGGUAGAGCGUGUCCAAGCGUCGAGGGAGCAUAAGCAGGCAAAUCCGCAUAUGCGAUAAUUCCGAGUCGUGACGGGGUGGCCGCAAGGGCCUGAAGCAGUUGAUUUCACGCUGUCGAGAAAAGCCGCUAACGAGACUUAAGGUGCCCGUACCGCAAACCGACACAGGUAGAUGAGGAGAGAAUCCUAAGGUGAGCGAGAGAACUAUUGUUAAGGAACUCGGCAAAAUGACCCCGUAACUUCGGGAGAAGGGGUGCCUGCUUCGGCAGGCCGCAGUGAAAAGGCCCAGGCAACUGUUUACCAAAAACACAGGUCUCUGCAAAAGCGAAAGCUGAAGUAUAGGGGCUGACGCCUGCCCGGUGCUGGAAGGUUAAGGGGAAGUGUUAGGGCAACCGAAGCACAGAACUUAAGCCCCAGUAAACGGCGGCCGUAACUAUAACGGUCCUAAGGUAGCGAAAUUCCUUGUCGGGUAAGUUCCGACCCGCACGAAAGGCGUAAUGAUCUGGGCGCUGUCUCAACAAUAGACUCGGUGAAAUUGUAGUACCGGUAAAGAUGCCGGUUACCCGCAGCAGGACGGAAAGACCCCGUGGAGCUUUACUGCAGCUUGAUAUUGAGUUUCGGCGUUGCAUGUACAGGAUAGGUGGGAGACUGAGAGCCCGGUACGUCAGUAUCGGAGGAGUCGACGUUGGGAUACCACCCUUGUAACGCUGGAAUUCUAACCAUGUACCGUAAACCGGUGCUGAGACAGUGUCAGGUGGGCAGUUUGACUGGGGCGGUCGCCUCCUAAAGAGUAACGGAGGCGCCCAAAGGUUCCCUCAGCGCGGACGGAAAUCGCGCGAAGAGUGCAAAGGCAGAAGGGAGCUUGACUGCGAGACAAACAGGUCGAGCAGGGACGAAAGUCGGGCUUAGUGAUCCGGUGGUUCCGAGUGGAAGGGCCAUCGCUCAACGGAUAAAAGCUACCCCGGGGAUAACAGGCUGAUACCCCCCAAGAGUUCACAUCGACGGGGGUGUUUGGCACCUCGAUGUCGGCUCGUCUCAUCCUGGGGCUGGAGUAGGUCCCAAGGGUUGGGCUGUUCGCCCAUUAAAGAGGUACGCGAGCUGGGUUCAGAACGUCGUGAGACAGUUCGGUCCCUAUCCGCUGUGGGCGUUGGAAAUUUGAGUGGAGCUGUCCUUAGUACGAGAGGACCGGGAUGGACAUACCUCUGGUGCACCAGUUGUUCUGCCAAGGGCAUAGCUGGGUAGCCAAGUAUGGACGGGAUAAGCGCUGAAAGCAUCUAAGUGCGAAGCCCCCCACAAGAAGAGAUUUCCUCCGAUUACGGUAAGACCCGUGGGAGACUACCACGAGAUAGGUCAGAGGUGAAAGUGCAGUAAUGUAUUAAGCUGACUGAUACUAAUAGGUCGAACACUUGACCAG